UACGGAGGGUGUAAGCGUUAUCCGGAUUCACUGGGUUUAAAGGGUGCGUAGGUGGGCUGGUAAGUCAGUGGUGAAAUCUCCAGGCUUAACUUGGAAACUGCCAUUGAUACUAUUAGUCUUGAAUACCGUGGAGGUCAGCGGAAUAUGUCAUGUAGCGGUGAAAUGCUUAGAUAUGACAUAGAACACCGAUAGCGUAGGCAGCUUGCUACACGAAUAUUGACACUGAGGCACGAAAGCGUGGGGAUCAAACAGG
rnacentral:rRNA from 1 species